rnacentral:rRNA from 1 species
GACGUAGGGCGCGAGCGUUGUCCGGAUUUAUUGGGCGUAAAGAGCUCGUAGGCGGCUUGUCACGUCGGAUGUGAAAGCCCGGGCUUAACCCCGGGUCUGCAUUCGAUACGGGCUAGCUAGAGUGUGGUAGGGGAGAUCGGAAUUCCUGGUGUAGCGGUGAAAUGCGCAGAUAUCAGGAGGAACACCGGUGGCGAAGGCGGAUCUCUGGGCCAUUACUGACGCUGAGGAGCGAAAGCGUGGGGAGCGAACAGG